ACCCGCACAAGCAGCGAGCGUGUGGUUUAAUUCGAUGCAACGACGAAAACCUUACCCACCUUUGACAUGGCAGGAAUCCUAAGAGAUUUGGGAGUGCUCGAAAGAGAACCUGCACACAGGUGCUGCAUGGCUGUCGUCAGCUCGUGUCGUGAGAUGUUGGGUUAAGUCCCGCAACGAGCGCAACCCUUGCCAUUAGUUGCUACGAAAGGGCACUCUAAUGGGACUGCCGGUGACAAACCGGAGGAAGGUGGGGAUGACGUCAAGUCCUCAUGGCCCUUAUAGGUGGGGCUACACACGUCAUACAAUGGCCGGUACAGAGGGUAGCCAACCCGCGAGGGGGAGCCAAUCCCACAAAGCCGGUCGUAGUCCGGAUCGCAGUCUGCAACUCGACUGCGUGAAGUCGGAAUCGCUAGUAAUCGCGGAUCAGCAUGUCGCGGUGAAUACGUUCCCGGGUCUU
rnacentral:rRNA from 1 species